GGCGCCGGGGCGGACUGCGGCGGUGAGCGCGGCUGCAGGCCGCGGUCGUAGUGGACUAAUUUUACAGGCGAAGUUAAGUGACUUACCCAAAACCUCACAGCUAAUAAACGGCAGAGCCGGCACCCAGCUGUACUGGCUUCCAGCGCAUCCCAUUAUCUCCAUAAAUCCCCCUGAUUCAACUAAUAUUAGACGCCCCACAGGUAAGAUGCUUCAGAGUUAGAGGGGAGUUGAAGAUACCUUUGCCUUCAAAGAAGUAAGGAAUGAAACAAAGAUAAAACAGACAAUAAAAGACAAACCAUGAUAGGUGCCACGUGAAAAGUGGCAGAGUACUGCCGGGAAUCAAAGAACCGUGUAUAUCUGUCUUGGGGAUAAGGAAAGAAACGCAGCAUGAAGGAGUAGGCAUUUGGGAUUGACCUUGAAGGAGACAGGGAGAGUUUUACAGCAAGAAGGGAUAGCAUGAGAAUAUAUAUGAAGGCGAAUCAGUGAAAGUUGUGUUGGGGAAAGAGCAAAGACUCCAGGUAUGUUGAGAGGUAGAAAAGACAAAGGAGUAUGGGGCCUAAGAUACCAAAUGGAUGAAUUUAUAUUUAAUUCAGUAUUUUGAGUUUUUAUGGUUCAGAAGUUUGGGGGAAGAAAAGGAAGGUUUUUUUUUUCUUUAUGCUAGUGAUUUAUCUGUGAAGGGAAGCAGAAAUCAGAGGUGGAAAAACUGACAGAUCUACUGUAGGCCAGGUAAAAGGUAAUGAUGAGUCUGACCUAAAGGGACAGCCAGGGGAAUUUAAAGAGCAUAGUUGAGAGAUGAUGUGCAUGCAGAAUCUAUAGAAUUUGCUAACUGAUUGAUUAAUUGUGGGUAGGAAGAGAGAAAUCAAAGAAAGUGGAGGUUUUGAGUUUCUAGAUAAUUGCAAGAGAGAAAAGAGACAAUUACAAAGGAAAGGAGAAGGAGCUACUUCUUGAGAGAAGAUCAGUUUAGAUUUAGACAUUUUAAGAAUUCAAAGGGUUGUCAAGACAGCCAGACGGACAUGGACACUAAUAAGUUAGAAAUAAAGGUUUUGUAAUAUGGGAAAGAGGACUGAGCUAGAAAAUAGACUCAUAGAUAAUCAGCCUAGGAGUGAUAUUGCUGUGAGAUAAAAGAAGAAAACAAAGUCAGAAUCUUGGAAAACACCCUCUUCAGAGUCUCGCUGCUCAAAACGUGGUCAGUGGCCCAGCAGCACUGACAUGAGGACCUUAGUUGGAAACUCAGAAUCUCAGGCUCCACCCCAGACCUGCUGAACCAGCAUCUUCAACUUAACAAGAACCCGAAGAGAUUUGUGCCACAUCAAAAAGUUUGAGAAGCUCUGAUCUAGGUGAGCCAAGCCAGCAAAGAAAGGGGGUGGAGCAGAAAAUGGGAGGAGAAUAGGGUAAUGCAGAAUCAUCAAGACAAGGUAAAUUGGACUUUCACAAAAACGGGGCUGGAAGGAGUGUUGCUCAACAAUAUCCAAAACCACAGAGGUUGAAAAGCACAAGGAAAGAAGGUAUGUUUGCACUUUGUGAUUAGGUAGUAGGGUCUUUAAGACCACAUUGUUCUCAUUGAAAGCCUGGGAAGAAAGAUCCCCUUUCUGGUCAAGGUUAGUCUAGGGAUCCAUCCCCUCUUCCCCAGUUCCCACGUAUAUGGGACAUGUCGAGAUAAGUAGAUAGAUUGGACAGUGGGAGAAAGUAGUUCUCUUCCAGUUGCUUCUAUUUUCUCAGCAAAGUGAGGAACAAGAUCAUUUUGGCAGACUGCUAAUUGUCCAUCAUAAUUUAGUCUCCCCUUCUCCCUGAAAACACAGACUGCUUUUCUCAGCCUCUCUUUCAGUUGCAUAUGGUCAAGUAUUAAGUUAUAGAACAUGAGCAGAUGUUAUGUCUGCCACUGUCAGGCCAAGGCGUUUACUUUGAGAGUACUUGUGCCUCUUUCAUACAUUUUCCUUUCUGCCAGCUGGACCCUGGACACGGUGACUCUGAUUCAAUUAUGCAGAUGACCACAAGCCUCUGGGGUUGGCAGAGCCACAAGAAAGAAGGUGCCUGGAUGAAGGAGAGCUACCCACUGACCUGGACACCCAAUUAUGUCAUAGGUGCUGCAAUCUAGAGACAAAAUAUUCCUUACACUGCCAGAUACUUGCAAACUAAGGGGAACGAGCUUCCCUCUGAAUGUUUAUGAAGGAGAGACCACUGUGUCAUCUGUCUUAGAGCUAUUGGAAUCCUGGAUCAUUGUGGGAAAUGAAAAGAACUGGUUUUUAGCAAGGAGACCAAGAAACUCUACUCCCUAGGGGCUAGCAAUGAGAGAAAGGAAGCCUUGAGUCUUUGAGCACAGGGUGACAGUUUGGGUCCUAUGUGAGAUGAUCAAAUCCACAGCAACAGAGGAAAGGACAAAAGGAAAAGAUACUUCGAUGGAAUCAGCAGCCAUUGAUCCAAUGCCAACUCCAAGACUGGAACGUCGCAAUGAUAGUUCCAAGGCGGAAAUUUGAC
rnacentral:lncRNA from 1 species